UAAGGGUGAAAAGUUUGAGGUAGUUGGACUCUUUUGGACUCUUCCUCUGGAUACAUCUUGCGAUCCCCACCGGCAGAGGGGAGAUUUGGCCAUUGGAAGCCUGCCGCUGUAUCACUCAAGAGCCGCACUCAGCUUUGACAGAUACUUCGGGGCAAGGAGGCACUCUCAAUAGUUUCAGGAGGCUCAGUGGAAAAGCUGGAGUUGCUGAAGAAAACAUCAGAACUAAGACUUCAUCAAAGGAGCUGUGUGGAGUUCUAUCAGUCUGCGAGACUACCAUCCUCAACAACAUUUCCUGAAAAGGGAUUUAAUACACAUUAGCAGCUGGAUCAUGAAGGAGGAGAAAAAUGUAGGACUGACAUCAAAAAUGGAAAUCAACAUAUCAGAUUUAUUUAUAAAUUAAGCAAUAAAUGAUGAUUGUCUAGGUUGCCAAUCCUGGGGAAAGCCUAUAAUUAUAGAUUGUAAAACACCAGUAAUGAAAUCUCUUUGCUCUGUCCCUAGUUCUAAAUAAGCUUUUCUUUAUACUUUAUAGUGCUUCAAAGUGUGACAAAAAUAUCACUAAGUUCUGAGAUGCUUAAAAUAAGGUAUCUGGGUGCAACCACAGCGCUGCAGUGAUGCACUUUCUAAGUAUCCUAUUUGCAAUACUGCCAUCAAGUGGAGAGAAGGAGAGAACGUUUUUAUAAACAGAUUUAAUUGAUAUCUAAUCAUGUCCAUCCAAUCAUUAACAAGAAUGCACUGAAUGGAUUUGCUGCCUCUACUGAAUGCAAUAACACAGGGCACCUAAGUAUUGUUAUUUGAGGGACAAGCCCAUCACGUGGGCAAGGAAGGAAAUGGAUAAACAAAGGGACUCCUGUUAAGAAAAGAAACCAGACUACUGACCAUAUGAAAGAUGCUGUGGCCAUCAGUAGAAUAAGCUGUAUUGACAGAACAGACUGGAGCCAGUUCACCCUGGAUGUAACUCCAGUGUAGUCAAUAGAUUCUAAGGCCAGAAGAGAUGGAUUUGGAAUGAUAGGUCUAGCAUUUACAGUUUCUCCAUUGCUGGCUGGUGGUGCUGAGGUAUGUACUCUUAUGUAUCUUCAGCUUAGAAAAGAGACGACUAAGGAGGGACAUGAUAGAGAUCUAUAAAAUCAUGA